AGAAUCAACGCUGGCGGCGUGCCUAACACAUGCAAGUCGAACGGGAAAGUGGAGCAAUCCAUGAGUAUAGUGGCGACCGGGUGAGUAACACGUGACUAACCUACCCUUGAGUGGGGGAUAACCUCGGGAAACCGGGCUAAUACCGCAUAACAUCUUCGGGAUGAGAAGCUGAAGAUCAAAGGAGCAAUUCGCUUUCGGAGGGGUCGCGGCUGAUUAGCUAGUUGGCGGGUAACGGCCCACCAAGGCUUUGAUCGGUA
rnacentral:rRNA from 1 species